rfam:Fukomys damarensis contig114730, whole genome shotgun sequence.
CCCAAGGCUCUUUUAAGAGCCACCUACUCUUUCAUAUAAAAUAGCU